UGAGGAAUAUUGGUCAAUGGGCGGAAGCCUGAAACCAGCCAAGUCGCGUGAGGGAUUAAGGCCCUAUGGGUCGUAAACCUCUUUUGUCAGGGAGCAAGGCCAUUCACGUGUGGGUGGUUGGAGAGUACCUGAAGAAAAAGCAUCGGCUAACUCCGUGCC
rnacentral:rRNA from 1 species